rnacentral:tRNA from 2 species
GGCAUCUUGGUGGAAUUGGUAGACACGCUAGAUUCAAAAUCUGGUUCCUUCGGGAGUGCGAGUUCGAUUCUCGCAGAUGCUACCA